CCUCCUGCUCCCCUCAGUGCUUCCUGCCGCCAUCACCGUCCCCUGGCAGGGGCUCCCACUGCAUCACCAUUAAUGAGCUGAUCUGCAUGUUUGAUUAGAAGGGCUUUGAUUAGACGUGUGGAGGGGAAGAACAGCAAGGACUGGUCCAGCUUUUGAGAGGCAUCGCCCAGCUCCUGACAGCACCACGGGGGCUGGAAUCUCACACCCUUCACUGUCCUUAAUUCUGAGAAUUGAAUGGACAGGCAGAAACAAACCAAAGCAGUCAGGCCAAGACACCAUCAGCCCCAAGUUGUGUUCUCCUCCAGGAGCAUCCAGAGCCAGGACACCCCUCUGUGCACGCAGGAGAAGGGCUUUCCUGAGCAUGCCUGGAAAAAACCUUCCUGUUUCCAUGAGAAAAUGGGAUGGAAUCUCCUCCAGGCCCUGCUGGCAGCGAUGCUCCCGUCACCUCCCCACGUUCCUCCCGCUGCACCCCGCGUGCCUGAGAAGGGCGAUGUGGGAGCAGGGUGGGAGGGAGGAGGGCACUGUAGGUGGAUCUGAGCCACCUCAGAUUGGAAGGGAAGUCCUUAAAUCUGAGCCUGUUUGGCAGAUAAAGCUCCGGGCUGCCAGA